ensembl:lncRNA
GUUGCUGAUCCUAUGUGUAAUGUGCAAAUCACAGCAACUUCAUAAUAAACAGUUGUGUAGUGUGAUGAAUAGUAGGUUACUUUGAAAAUCUUGAGGUGUAUACCGGGCAUAAGCUCAACAGCCAAUCAGAGUGUUCUCUCUCACCGGCUGCCCAACCAUGAUUAAAUAAGUAAUCGGCCUAAAAACCCUAACAACCACUCAGAACUACUGGUAUAAUGGUAGCUAGUAGCCUAAGUUGAGCAUGGCUAACAUCCACUUCUUCUUCAGACAAUGUAUAUAGUUAUAUGAUAAUGUAUAAAUAUAAGAUAUAGAAGAAAAUUGCUGGAUAAUGUACAAUCAGUUGAUUUAAUUAGCAAAAAUGACUGGCUGCUAUAACUGACUUCACUCCCAUUGGUUGUCGCUCAUGAAAUUCGCUGCUAAUUUGCUAAAAGUUGAAGUUUCGUCGCUUGACUCGCAUCGCUUGACACGCCCACAUUCCGUCGCCAACGGUCACUGUCACUAGUGCAGCCGGAAGUCGCAAGCUCUCCGUUGAAAAUGAAUGGUAUUAUGUCACUGACUUGGCUAAUAUGGCUAAAAAUUGACAAGACAAUCCUUUUUUUCAUUAAUUGAUUUUCCAGAAUUGUGUCCCCUCAAAAAUCACAUAAAGAAAUGUUUGCAUGAGCGUGCACGGCUUGGUUUGCCAGGAGUGUGUGAGGAGGUGUGUGCAGGAUGCUGAGAGAAGCAUUCGUGAGGAGUGUGACAUGAAGGCAGAAAGACAGAAACAGGCCCUACAGGACAGACAUGAAGAGAAGAUAUCUAAGCUACAAAACAGGAUACAGCAGCUGCAGGACAGUCUGGAGCAGGCCUGCAGGGAGCGCAUUCAGUAUGAAGCAGAGUUUAAGAAGGUGCAGGCCAGCUACAGGCGGUUUGUGGACCUGACUGAUUCCUCCCUCCACUCUGAUUACCUCUUAAAACUGCGCAGACUGGGGAGAGAGCCAGGUCUCACGGACACUGCGACACAGACUGAUGAGAUCACCUCCUAGCUUGUGAUGGCAGUGUGCACACUGUCUGGGUAUUUGACAUGUCAU